rnacentral:sRNA from 1 species
GGUGAGGGAGGGGCUGGAGAGGAGAGAAUGGGGGAAAUGAUGUAAGUAUAAUACUCGCAUAUAAAAUUUUCAAAAAAUAAAUUAGACCGUUAUUAUUGUUAUCCUUAUAAAAGUCUUUCAUCCAGCUUGAAGUGUAAUUGGCAAAUACAGAUCACACACAUAUUCAAGGCCUACCGCAUGUCAAUCUGACAAACACUGGCAAGUGUCCUUGAUUUCGGAAUGGAACGAAAUGACAGAACAGACUUAAACAUUAUUUUUUUUUAAUCUAGGAGCUCCUCUUCUUAUCCACCCACCCCUCGCCCACCCCCAAAGUAUGCUCCGUGCUCUCCUCAGAUCUGACUAAAAUUACUUCCUACAGCUGAACACCAGAUUCUAAAUGUCACCUCGGAAGACUAGGAGACCAUCUAUUUCCUAUUUAUUGCAAAUAUUGUCUGGUGUUCUGCAUCUAAAGAAUACUCUUGAUUAGGAAGGCCCUUCCUUUUGUUCCCAGCUUCUAAAAAUAUAAAGGCUAUCACAAAAUAUGAAAUAGAACCCUAGUACGGAUGACACAAAUCUUUUCCAUCAGACUUUGCGUGUUUAUGUGUGUGCGUGUGUGUCUGUAUAUGCCAGAACUGGGGUAGCACAUUAAUAUAAGGAUUCAAAAGAAUAAUUAAAGAUCUACCUGGACACAAAUCUGCCUGAGGGAGGACCUUUUAUGUUGUUUUGCAUUCUGUGUGCCACUCAAAAGGUUUGCAACUGGGAAAUGAUGUUGAACUAAAAUAAGACAAGAGCACAUUGAGGGAAAUUAUAUCCUGUCCAAUGAGUUGACACCCCCUUUAGACAGCUCACCACGGCGGCUCACUGCAGUCACCACUGGAGCACAUGGGGUGACAUUUAGACUGCACAGUAGCGCAGGGGGGAAAGUCAUGUCUGCCGAGCGGCCGAGUGCGGAGGGUGAGCCUAGGCAGGAGAACGCAGAGUGCCCUGGAACCGCCAACAUGUCUGUUCUUAGACCACGUGGACAGACGUUACAGCCGACUAGUCCCCUGCACCAACCCUUGGCAGACUCUGUUUAGAUCUGCCCCUGAUAGAGUUGAUUUCUCUUGCUGCUGACACCUUCCUCAUUCUUUUUACCUCCUUUUAAAAAUAUUUCUCUCUUCCAAGAAUUCGGUAGAUGGUCCCAAACCAAAGACGUUACAGAAGUCUUCCUGGAUCUCAGAUACCCACGUGGGAUGCGUCACUUUGAGUACGAUGACCAACUACUGCCAAUGAAACUGAAGAUUUUACAGUAUUCCGCCAGAAAGGUCUAUCAUGGGCAUAGAAGACCAGCCAUCAGCCUCUUGGGACUGCCUGACGGAUGGACACAAUGCUGACUGUCGUUUCCUACCCCAUCCUAGAGCCAAUCAAAAUGACACACGUAACUAAGGUUGAGUUUUCAGAUUUAAAUACAUUGGGAACACUGCAUGGGUUUGGGGGGUUGCUUUAUUUUGGGAGGUAGAAUCUUAUUGUUUUGAAUGUUACUGCUAAUUUUUAAAAAAGGUGUAUGAUGAAUUGUAUUGUCCACUCUUUUUGUUUGUCUCCCCACAAGAAGAAAGCUUUUGAACUGGAAGUGUGUUUCUGCUUCCCCUUGAGAUCAAAGUUUCAAGAUCCUAGAAAGUUCUCAAUAAAUGCCUGUGACAUGGAUGGAUGAAUCCACAGAUCAAUAAGUAGAUUCCAUGGUGUGAGCGCCCAGCUUUCUGCUCCCGUGGCCCCGCCUAUGAGUAGUUGCCAUGUCUCCUUCACCACCAAGAUGAACACUCACCUCCCUAGAACUAUAAGCCCAAAUAAACUCAUAGGUCACCUUCAUCAUAUUGUGCCAUCACAGCGACAGAAAAGGAUGAAAGUGCUGUUACUGUUACUCCACAGACGCCUUGGGAACAGAGCAAAGUGCCAUCAGCUUCCCAGGACGCACCCUAGACUCUCAUCACGCCCUCCAUCUUGCUGUGACUCAUGUGAAUACCCACUUGGGAAUUCACUUACCAUUUGUGUGUGCUCAGAGGAGGAUCUAGGCUUCUACCUUGACUCAUGAAAGUCUCUGAACAGUCCCUGUCUAAAAGGCCGGGACCUUCUACUUAUCAGGUUCUGCAGGGCAGAUAGCAUCCAGCUAAGGGGAUAUGGAAAUGAACAGGACAGGAGGUGGGGGGAAAGGGAGGGAACGGCUUCUCCCACACACACACACAAAUAGGACUAGGGAACAAAGGAGACAAACCACUUCUUUCAGUUUGAGCAUAAGACAUACUGUUUGUAUUGAUUUAUGUGUAUGUUGUGUUCAUGUAUGACAUGUGUGCAUGGGUGCCUGAGGAGAGAAGAAAAUGUCAGAUCUUUUCAGCUGGAGCUAUAGCUUCCUGUGAGCCACCCAGUGUGGAUGUUGGGAACUAAACAAACUCGGUCCUCUGGAAGAGCAGUAAGUGUUCCUAACUAUUGAGCCACCACUCCAGCGCCAACAUAUACUCUUUGUAAAUUAGAACUUCAAGUUAGAGUUUUGUUGUCUUAUUAAAAUCAACCCUCAAAAUUAAUGUCCAGUUGGGAGGGGCCACUGCCUAUGUUUACUCAUCCCCAGACAUGACAGGGUGAGUGGUCCUCCCCAUGGGUAGGAGUGGUCCGGAUGGUUGGAGAAGUGGUUAUCUCUCACGUUCCCUUAUCCUCCUUCAGCAUUUGUUCUGCUUUUAAUCUUAAUUGCUCCGAACCCUGAGAAAGAAGUGGAAUCCACUGGCUUCUGAAAUGUCAGGCAGUGGUGGCUAUUGUAUAUGGCCUCCUGGGAGCCCCCAGAGUCACGUGGUUGGGUGAUAGGAGGGUUCCAUGGGUGCCCAGUUCCUGUCCACAUCUCCUCAUAGCAACACUGGUAGCUGUUGUUUUCCUGUGUUAAGAUGAGAUGGACAAGGGGACAUCACAAUUGGUGAGUGCCUCUAACCGGGCAGUAGCAGCAGCCAGUGGAGAUGGAGGGCCCCUAGGCUUUCUCUGAAUGCCUGGUGGGUUGCUAAGGAUGGGCUAUCCCAGAGCUCAGGUCAGCAGUACUGUGUGCACACCAAACAAUAGUUGCUGUGGGUGGUUCACUCUCAACACACUCUUGUGCAGUGUGAGGGAAUUGCUAAUUUAGAAUGCUGGGCAUCAGACCCCUGGGUCCACACAGCUACAAAACAAAAGAGUGGGUUUGUGUUGUCUGAUGGCUGCACAAAGUCCCUUAACUACACAUUACCACACACUCAGGCUUCUCAGGACCACACUGUGUUUUGGAUGCUGACCAUUCCCCUCAAGCCCAUGCCUUAAAGGCUUUGUCUCCAAGGUGGUCUACUGGGGAGCAGGAGACCUUGAAGAGGAGCCUCAUAGGAAGAAGUCAUCAGGGGCAUAUCCUGGGAUGGGACUGUGGGCUCUACCCAUCCCCUCUCUCUACAUCCUGGCUCAAGAUUUGAGCUUUCAGUUCACUCAGACAUGUGCUAGACCAUGAUGCACCACUAUCUGCCUCCCACCAGAAGGGAGCUGACACAAGGACCAUUCUGCACCUCAAAAGCUGUGAUCAAACAGACCUUUUCUCUGUACAACUUUAAUAGCCGCAAAUAUCUUCCUGUGUCUGCACAGACCUGACAAGAGCAAUCACCUGCGUGGGCUGUCACCUUCACCCCAUCAAUUCAUAAGAGUGCAAUUUUCAUCCUAUAGUCGAGGCCAGCUUGGUGCUGUGCGACCCAUUGUUUGGGACAGGAAACGCAUGCUAUUUAGGGCUAUGCCAUCUGUAUGUUUCCAAAGCCUGUAGAAUUCCAUCACAGGAACUGACAAAGUCCUGUGUGUCCUGAUGUCAGCAUGGAGAGCCAAGGCCUACAAAGGACAGCAACUCGAGCUUCUACACAGACCACACCACGGAGGUCAGUUGGACCGUGAACCUUGAGCUCCCACAUGUAGCUGUAACACUUGAGUGACUAAUGUAGCAGUAUUGGUCCAUGAAUGGGGAACUACCAAGGCUAAAUAUCCAGGCUGGCCAGCUUAGCAAAACUAACAGAUUGAGAAAUAGUAGAGGGCCCAUGUGUGUAGUGCACGCCCUUAAUCCCAGGACUCAGGAGGCAGAGGCAGGAGGUUUUGUGUAAGUUUGAGACCAGGCUACUGAACGUAGUGAUUACUAUCAGUCAUGGAGGGCCUGGAGACAUGGUUCUGCAGUGAAGAGUGCUUGCUGACCCUUCUAGAAGUAUCUAGAUGACUUUAGUUCAUUUCCCAGCACCCAAGCCUAAACUCCAGCUCAGUUCCAGGGGUUCUGAUGCAUGCCCCCUUCUAGUGUCCAAGAGUAUUUGCAUGCACACACACACACACACACACACACACACACACACACACACACAUGCAAGUAAGCACAUACACAUACACACGUGAAUAAAAAUAAAAAUACCUUUAAAGGGAAAGGACCCACAGAACAAUUCCACCCAGUACUAGGGAGAUCAGCUCUAGAGUAGUCAGUCCACCCUUUAAAUUGUAAGCAAAAUGGUUCCAGAAUGCAAUGGGGCGGCCCCCAAGGCCAACCCAAGUGCAUGGAAGGAAGACCACUCAUCCACAGACAGCCUGGGUUUUUUGCCUUGUUUUAUUUUUUGUUGUCCCCAGCUAAGGAAUACGGUAGCAUAUGGCAGCUGCUUCGUCUCACAGCCUCAUAUAACCUAUGUGGCCACCAGACCCAGAAAGAAAAAAAAAAAGUUUCCCUAAACGUUGUGCGGCCCACUACUUUGUGAUGCCUCUUUUUCUCCCUCCAAACACUGCUACUUUUUUUUUCCUUUUUGCAGCUUUAGAAAAAUAGAUAAUUACUUCAGUUAAUUUCAGCAAAACAGUUCAAACUCAUCAGGGCUGAACAAGUAUAAUUUAAUGCUCCUUCUGACUUAUUGUUGUGACUAGAUGCGGGUUGAUGAUUAAAGUGGUAAACACUAGCGUUUCUGAGAAAUGGCUGACUCGGCUGCCAGCGUGUCACAGGGAGACACCUGCCCCCAUGGCUGUGCCGCGAUUGUGACUGCGCUCCAGGCUGUCAACAAAGAAUAUAAGUAUUUGACAAGGUGUUAUCUAAUUGUGUUUUUAAAAGCCACGAUACAUACAUCCUUUAAUGUGUCACUUGAAGCAGCCAGAGAGUUUCUUUUAUUAUGAAGUACAAAGGAAAAAUGAAUGGCUUGCA